UGACGAGUGGCGGACGGGUGAKUAAUGUCUGGGAAACUGCCUGAUGGAGGGGGAUAACUACUGGAAACGGUAGCUAAUACCGCAUAACGUCGCAAGACCAAAGAGGGGGACCUUCGGGCCUCUUGCCAUCGGAUGUGCCCAGAUGGGAUUAGCUAGUAGGUGGGGUAACGGCUCACCUAGGCGACGAUCCCUAGCUGGUCUGAGAGGAUGACCAGCCACACUGGAACUGAGACACGGUCCAGACUCCUACGGGAGGCAGCAGUGGGGAAUAUUGCACAAUGGGCGCAAGCCUGAUGCAGCCAUGCCGCGUGUAUGAAGAAGGCCUUCGGGUUGUAAAGUACUUUCAGCGGGGAGGAAGGGAGUAAAGUUAAUACCUUUGCUCAUUGACGUUACCCGCAGAAGAAGCACCGGCUAACUCCGUGCCAGCAGCCGCGGUAAUACGGAGGGUGCAAGCGUUAAUCGGAAUUACUGGGCGUAAAGCGCACGCAGGCGGUUGUUAAGUCAGAUGUGAAAUCCCCGGGCUCAACCUGGGAACUGCAUCUGAUACUGGCAAGCUUGAGUCUCGWAGAGGGGGUAGAUUCCAGGUGUAGCGGUGAAAUG
rnacentral:rRNA from 1 species